UGGCAAGGCUGGGAUCCAGCAGACAGUGCAUCCAGCCCAGCUGCACUCCAUCUCACCCAUACCCUGCCUGGAUCUACAACCACUACUGAUGCCCUUAUAGAUACUGGGAAUUACAGUUAGCCUCACUAAGAUCAGACUAUGUUCAACUUGGAGUGACUUUGAUCCCACUGUGGCUGUCAUACCUUCGUGGUACAGAGGUUCCAUCCCACUGCUCUCUCUUCCUUUACUUGUACUGGAGGUGGAGAUGCCUUGCUGCUUGGAUAGCUAAUCAGCCCUGGAAGGUGUAAUUAAAUAACAACAUGCUGUGCCACCUGAAGUCUCUCAGGAUUAAGAUGGGGUUUUAAUUGUCUAAUAAAUGGUCACCAGAUACUCUCAUCCCCUGACGGUUACCUGAUCGUUUCUGCACACGCUGCCAGGAGGUUUCCAUCUGUAGAUCUUAAGAAGCCCAAAGUUAUGCCUUUCUAUGCUGGCUCCAGACAAUCAGAGACCUGACCUGGAUGGGAUGGCGUAUCUAUCACGCAUCAUGCAUGUACUGAUCAACAAUCACGCAGAUCUUGAUGGAGAUUAUUUUGUACUCAGCAAUUUCCUGCAGCCACAUAUUGACGUGUUGACACGUGGAUAUGCUGAUACACUGCACAUCACCUCAAGGACCAUCUACCCACUGUGCUGGUGCUGCCAGUGUUUCAGCAGAGAUCAACAACUUGAGAGACCUUCCACAUCCUCCUGAAUGUGUGGGACACACAGGGGCUAAUAGAACCUCCUUUACCCAUUGGGUUUUGCACUGUCUCCAUGGAGUCCAUUGCAUUUCGGCUCUCUGGGGUUGGGGUUUUGCAGUCCCUGGAUGCAGGUGAUGCCUGGCAGCAGCAUGCAGGUGCACCACGUAGCAGGCUGCAGCCCUCCUCCUUCCCACGGCUGCAUGCUCACUGCUCCAUCAGCACAGAUUUCCAUGAUCGAUUUGUAGGAAGAAAAGAGCCAGAUAAGAAAUAUGUUUUUAAUAGUAAUGUCACCAAUGAAUGCGAGGAUCUUGAUAUCAGCCAUUAAGUAAAAGCAGGGGUGGAAUGAGCAUCAUUUGUCUGUUGCCAGCUUCUCCCAACUGGCUUCCAUUUAGACGAGGGAAAAAAAAUCUCAUCACUGCUAUCCCAGGUAACAGUGAAAUAUAUUUGUUGUCAGCAGCAGGUCAGAAUGCAGAG
ensembl:lncRNA